UUACUCACCGUAUAUCAGUUCAUAUAAGGCGAGUAGCGAAAAACAAGAUGGCGGUCCAAAAACUACAUGAGUUUUGCGAAGCAGAAAAAAGGAAAAUGUUCGCUUUGAGAAAGAUAAUAGUACAAGGAAAACUCUCAAAAAAAUUUGACAGGUUAGCAAAAUACAUUUAUUACAUAGAAAUUAGUUUAAAGACAAGUUUUUUAAAGAAUUAAUACCGAAACAACAG
rnacentral:lncRNA from 1 species